GCUCAGUUGGUUAAGCGUCCGACUUCCGCUCGGGUCAUGAUCUCGCGGUUUGUGGGUUUGAGUCCCACAUUGGGCU
rnacentral:tRNA from 1 species